CUCUCUCAAAACUCUAAGUUUUGGUGUUGAGUGAUACUCAAGGCAAGCUUGAGUUUGCUUGAAAAGUAUUGGCAAGGGAAGCGAUUCUUCGCACCGGCUAUUUAUUCAAUGUAUUAGGUUUAUCCAACUCGUUGAUUGAUGGCAGGAUGAAAGGAGUCUGCUAAGGCCCGGCCUUACAACUAAACAAACCAAA
rnacentral:misc_RNA from 1 species